CCACCAGACUCCUACGGGAGGCAGCAGUGGGGAAUAUUGCACAAUGGGGGGAACCCUGAUGCAGCAACGCCGCGUGAGUGAAGAAGUAUUUCGGUAUGUAAAGCUCUAUCAGCAGGGAAGAAAAUGACAGUACCUGACUAAGAAGCCCCGGCUAACUACGUGCCAGCAGCCGCGGUAAUACGUAGGGGGCAAGCGUUAUCCGGAUUUACUGGGUGUAAAGGGAGCGUAGACGGCUGCGCAAGUCAGAAGUGAAAGCCCGGGGCUCAACCGUGGGACUGCUCUUGGAACUGCGCGGCUGGAGUGCAGGAGGGGCAGGCGGAAUUCCUGGUGUAGCGGUGAAAUGCGUAGAUAUCAGGAGGAACACCGGUGGCGAAGGCGGCCUGCUGGACUGCGACUGACGUUGAGGCCCGAAAGCGUGGGGAGCAAACAGGAUUAGAUACCCGUGUAG
rnacentral:rRNA from 1 species